UGUGUGGAAAUUAAUUGAUGUUGCAUCAAUGAAGCGUAUGAAGGGAAGUUGUACGCAUGCAGAAUGGAAUGGCAGACAGGAGCUGGCCCUCCACUGGAGAACACUCCUGCUGAGUGCCCCUCACUGGAAGGGGUGGAGGGGGGAUCUCAUCAAACCCUGGUGGCAACAGCAGCUCCAAACAGGCCACAUUUAGACAAGCACGAAGAGAAGGUGUUGUUGGCUGCAGAAAGGCCACCUUUCCAACAGAUACCAUCAUCCUGACACCCUGACCUGACCGGAGCUGAGGGCUACAGCUCCCCUCCAUAUCAUAUCUGGUCGCAUUAAGGUGGGAGAGCGGGAUCACAAUGCAUGGCAAUAAAAACACAAGGCUGAGCCUCUACUUUCCUAACCCUCUCAAAGCACUCCAGAAAUGAAAAGGGCAAAGGAUCAAUGCUUGACAAAGAGCGGUUUUAGAAAUUGUUACACCACAAACGGAGAAACAGCACUAUUAGCAUAAGGACAAAUAGGACUAUAUGCUAAUGCUGUUUGAGUGCUAAAUGGUACACUAAUGAUGCAGUAUGAAUUGCCCUUAUCCCCUUUAGUGUCUAAAAAUGAAACCAAAUUGCUUUUGCCCCUCUUCCUCCGAUUAUCAUUAAGUGAUCACUGCAUCUGACGUGAUGUCAUAGCAAUGGUAGGAUCACCUUUUGUGCAGAAGUGGAAUAAAAGGAUUGUUUGGGCAGAUGGUGCCAAUAGAAUAUUAUAAUUUGUAAUUAUUUAUUUAUUUUUGCUUCAGCUUUUAUGUGGUCAGUAUGGAAAAUCCAGCAAUUCUGUUACCAGUAUAUUACAUCUAAAUAUGCCAUUUUUAAUUUUUUUUUUCUUUUUCAUUUGUCAGCUUUUGUUGAGAUCAAUGAUAUUCAGUAAAUAGAACUUUUUUUUUAAUUCCAGAACUUUAAUUCCAGAACUAUAUAUAUAUAUAUAU